ACCCGCUGAAUUUAAGCAUAUAAGUAAGUGGUGGAAAUUAAACCAAAUGGGAUAUCUUUAGUAAUUACGAAUGAACAAGGAUAUGCGUAGCUUGACAAAUGGAACUAUUGGCUUUGAAUUGUAUUGUGGAAAUGUAUUACCAACAGAGGUGCAGGUGCCAGCAUAUUGAAAUAGAGCGUCAAUGAGGGUGAGAAUCCUGUUUGCCAUGUGCAGCCCUUUGUGCACGGUGUAUAUUUGCUGAGUCACACUCCUUGGCAUUGGAAUGCAAAGUGGGUGGUAAGUUUCAUGUAAAGGUAAACAUGCAACUGAGACUGAUAGCACACAAGUGCCAUGAGGGAAAUAUGAAAAAGGUUUUUGAAAAGAUAAUAAAAUGAGUUUGUAUUUGCUGAACACAAAGUAAACAGACUUGAUUUGCUUGGUGGGAGUGUUGCACUUGCUUGACAAGAGCUUUGGGCUGUGUGUAAUGAUUCGUUCUUUGCAUGCCAGUUUCUAUGUGUACAUCUGAUUACCUUUGCACAUGAAUGAUAAGUCUCCUGUGGGGGGUGUAUUGCAUGUGCAUGUAAUGAUGUGUGUUUUGAUAAAUGUGUAUGGUGUAUGUGUUUGUGUUCAUGUGAUUGGGGAUGCUUCCUUCCUUGGACUUACAAGCCCUGACACACACAUGCUGGCAAAAUGAUUAUGCUUGACCCGUCUUGAAACACGGACCAAGG
rnacentral:rRNA from 1 species